rnacentral:rRNA from 1 species
GACGAACGCUGGCGGCGUGCCUAACACAUGCAAGUCGAACGAAGUCCUACCGGUGGCAACACUGGGAAAGGCUUAGUGGCGAACGGGUGAGUAACACGUGAGGAACCUGCCCCGAAGACCGGGAUAACCCGAGGAAACUCGAGCUAAUACCGGAUACCCCCACCGGACCGCAUGGUCUGGUGAGGAAAUGGAUUCCGCUUCGGGAGGGCCUCGCGGCCUAUCAGCUAGUUGGUGGGGUAACGGCCCACCAAGGCUUCGACGGGUAGCUGGUCUGAGA